rnacentral:lncRNA from 1 species
AAAUGGUGGUGGGAAAAAUUAAGUCCAGAAAUCAAUGAACAAGAUUUUCAAAUGAUGACUACUAAUUGUGGGUCUUCCCCUUGCAAGUAAACCUUGCCAACACUUCUGAACACUGUGGACGCCACUGCAUUCUUAAAUCCUUCACAGAGACCCGAAAAGAGCUCAGUCAGACAAAAAAUUCAAAGAUGAAGGAACACCGCAGAGAGUUCUUAAAAUGAAGCUGCCUUGUACCUUCCGUACUUGCUCUUCAGUUAUGGUCCCUGUACCAAAGCUUGUUUCUGUUCUUUCUUAUCCCACACCUCCACAACACCUCCUCAGAGCCCCACCUUGCAUCCAGGAUUUCCCAGAAAGAUAAAUGAAUGCUGUGUGUGCACACCCCAUUUGAGGCAGGCGCCACGGAGGCCGCACGAAAUGGAACUCCGGGAACAGAAGCCUUUUCCUUCCAAACACACCUCUUCUUCCGGCUCCUUGGGUCUGACCUGCCAAACAACUAGCAAACACAUUUCUCUGAAUGUCCAACCCCAACUGUGCUGGAGCAGAAUUAGUAAGUGUCCUGUGGAGAGGCCCAUGUGAGUGAGCUGGGAAGUGAAUCCUCUCUCAUUCAAGCCUUGAGAUGACUGCAGCCCCAGCCAACACCUUGACUCCAGCCUGUGACCGACCCCGAGCAAGAACCACCACCUACAUCACUCCCAGAUUCUGAAUCCACAGGAACUGUGAGAUGGGUGUCUAUGGUUUUCAGCCACUAAGUUUUGGGGUAAUU